GAUGAACGCUGGCGGCGUGCCUAAUACAUGCAAGUCGAGCGAACGGACGAGAAGCUUGCUUCUCUGAUGUUAGCGGCGGACGGGUGAGUAACACGUGGAUAACCUACCUAUAAGACUGGGAUAACUUCGGGAAACCGGAGCUAAUACCGGAUAAUAUUUUGAACCGCAUGGUUCAAAAGUGAAAGACGGUCUUGCUGUCACUUAUAGAUGGAUCCGCGCUGCAUUAGCUAGUUGGUAAGGUAACGGCUUACCAAGGCAACGAUGCAUAGCCGACCUGAGAGGGUGAUCGGCCACACUGGAACCGAGACACGGUCCAGACUCCUACGGGAGGCAGCAGUAGGGAAUCUUCCGCAAUGGGCGAAAGCCUGACGGAGCAACGCCGCGUGAGUGAUGAAGGUCUUCGGAUCGUAAAACCCUGUUAUUAGGGAAGAACAUAUGUGUAAGUAACUGUGCACAUCUUGACGGUACCUAAUCAGAAAGCCACGGCUAACUACGUG
rnacentral:rRNA from 1 species